AAAACCCUUUCGGCCGAAAGCCGAAAGGGCCUUUUUAACCAUUUUCGGCCGAUAAUAAGCCUGAGACACAAACUGGCUGAACUCAGGCAGCUAUUCAUGAACGGGACCACUCUGGAGGUCGCCUUGGAAUGCGGCGGGUCCCCUCUGGAGGACAACAGGACCCCUCUGUAGGACGGGCAGGAGGCCUGUGGGACCCCUCUGGAGACACAGCAUCCGGAGCACAGGGGUAACAGGAGUUUAACGCAGGCGUGUAGUCUAUUGGAAGAAUUCACAAAGUUCCUUCAAAAGCCUGGCAGUGAGCUCCAUAACCAGGGCUUAUCAGCCACUUCCCGGCAUGGAAGGGAAAGAGCGGCCUCCUGAGCCUCUUUAUAAGGUGCUCUCCUCCACUCCACAAGAAUGCAUAAAAGCUUGUGAGAUAAAUCAUAAAGGUCAUCCUAAAAAGUA